rnacentral:rRNA from 1 species
AUGUACACCGAGGCGGAGGCAAAGGAAACACGAGAAGACGACAUCAACCUGCUGGAAGAAGGCCGACUGUUGGCACUCACCCGGUCCGCCAUCUACCAGCAGGGUCUACGUCGCUACCACAGUAGGAAGGUCAAGCCAAGAUCUUUCCAAGAGGGAGACCUUGUGCUCCGGCUGAUCCAGCGCACAGCCGUCCAGCACAAGCUUUCGGUUCCUCGGGAAGGCCCUUUCAUCAUCUGUAAAGCCUUGGGCAACAACUCCUACUACCUGACCGAUGCUCAGAAGCCUAGGGUGCGCAAAAGGGACGACAACGGCAAAGAAACAUAG